CCAAAAACUCCAUGAGUUUCAGCAAUAAUUAUACAGUGUCAAUUUCACAAUUACCACAUUGAACAGAAGAGAAUUACCAUCAAUUUCAAGGCUGAAGUGCUAAAUGGUGGCAUUAAGAUGGUUUUUGACAGAGGGCGAACAUGGUUGUCAGCAGGCAGCAGUUUGUGGCCCGAGAAGAGAAUGAUUAUGGCUGCUCUUUGCCAUACUGACACCAGGGUUGUUUUAAAUGGGUGUGGGGGAUGGAUACCACACACUUCCAUUGCCACCAACUGAUCGGCUUAACUUUUAGCAUAAAAAGGAUAUUGUAAGCUUCCAUUUGUACAUUACAAUGACCAAAAAACCAAGUUUUACUCAAUACAAGAGAUUUGGUAGUAAAUUGAAAGGAAAAUUGCAGCGAAGGUCCCAAACCUUUCAUUUUA